rnacentral:rRNA from 1 species
AGAGUUUGAUCCUGGCUCAGAAUGAACGCUGGCGGCGUGCUUAACACAUGCAAGUCGAACGAGAAAGGGAUUGCUUGCAAUCCCGAGUAGAGUGGCGCACGGGUGAGUAACACGUAGAUAAUCUGCCUUCAAGCCUGGGAUAACUAUUCGAAAGGGUAGCUAAUACCGGAUAAAGUCGAUUUACACAAGUAGAUUGAUGAAAGAUUGCCUCUUCUUGAAAGCAAUUGUUUGGAGAUGAGUUUGCGUACCAUUAGCUGGUUGGUGGGGUAAAGGCCUACCAAGGCAACGAUGGUUAGCUGGUCUGAGAGGAUGAUCAGCCACACUGGAACUGGAACACGGUCCAGACUCCUACGGGAGGCAGCAGUGAGGAAUUUUGCGCAAUGGGGGCAACCCUGACGCAGCAACGCCGCGUGAGUGAAGAAGGCCUUUGGGUCGUAAAGCUCUGUCAACAGGGAAGAAGUUACAAUUGUUUAACAGAUGAUUGUAUUGACGGUACCUGUGGAGGAAGCGCCGGCUAACUCCGUGCCAGCAGCCGCGGUAACACGGGGGGCGCAAGCGUUAUUCGGAAUUAUUGGGCGUAAAGGGCGCGCAGGCGGUCUUGUCCGUCAGGUGUGAAAGCUCGGGGCUCAACCCCGGAAGUGCACUUGAAACAGCAAGACUUGAAUACGGGAGAGGAAAGCGGAAUUCCUGGUGUAGAGGUGAAAUUCGUAGAUAUCAGGAGGAACACCGAUGGCGAAGGCAGCUUUCUGGACCGAUAUUGACGCUGAGGCGCGAAGGCGUGGGUAGCAAACGGGAUUAGAUACCCCGGUAGUCCACGCAGUAAACGUUGUACACUCGGUGUAGCGGGUAUUAAAACCUGCUGUGCCCAAGCUAACGCAUUAAGUGUACCGCCUGGGAAGUACGGUCGCAAGACUAAAACUCAAAGGAAUUGACGGGGGCCCG